GUGCCUACGGGACGCAGCAGUGGGGGAUAUUGCACAAUGGGGGGAACCCUGAUGCAGCGACGCCGCGUGGGUGAAGAAGUAUUUCGGUAUGUAAAGCCCUAUCGGCAGGGAAGAAUUUAGACGGUACCUGACUAAGAAGCCCCGGCUAACUACGUGCCAGCAGCCGCGGUAAUACGUAGGGGGCAAGCGUUAUCCGGAAUUACUGGGUGUAAAGGGAGCGUAGACGGUGAUGCAAGUCUGGAGUGAAAGGCGGGGGCCCAACCCCCGGACUGCUCUGGAAACUGUAUGACUUGAGUGC
rnacentral:rRNA from 1 species